rnacentral:rRNA from 1 species
CCUACGGGAGGCUGCAGUGAGGAAUAUUGGUCAAUGGACGAGAGUCUGAACCAGCCAAGUAGCGUGAAGGAUGACUGCCCUAUGGGUUGUAAACUUCUUUUAUAUGGGAAUAAAACGUUCCACGUGUGGGAUUUUGUAUGUACCAUAUGAAUAAGGAUCGGCUAACUCCGUGCCAGCAGCCGCGGUAAUACGGAGGAUCCGAGCGUUAUCCGGAUUUAUUGGGUUUAAAGGGAGCGUAGGUGGAUUGUUAAGUCAGUUGUGAAAGUUUGCGGCUCAACCGUAAAAUUGCAGUUGAAACUGGCAGUCUGGAGUACAGUAGAGGUGGGCGGAAUUCGUGGUGUAGCGGUGAAAUGCUUAGAUAUCACGAAGAACUCCGAUUGCGAAGGCAGCUCACUGGACUGCAACUGACACUGAGGCUCGAAAGUGUGGGUAUCAAACAGGAUUAGAUACCCCAGUAGUC